rnacentral:rRNA from 1 species
UACGUAGGUGGCAAGCGUUGUCCGGAAUUAUUGGGCGUAAAGCGCGCGCAGGCGGUCCUUUAAGUCUGAUGUGAAAGCCCACGGCUCAACCGUGGAGGGUCAUUGGAAACUGGGGAACUUGAGUGCAGAAGAGGAAAGUGGAAUUCCACGUGUAGCGGUGAAAUGCGUAGAGAUGUGGAGGAACACCAGUGGCGAAGGCGACUUUCUGGUCUGUAACUGACACUGAGGCGCGAAAGCGUGGGGAGCGAACAGG